GGUUAAGCGACUAAGCGUACACGGUGGAUGCCCUGGCAGUCAGAGGCGAUGAAGGACGUGCUAAUCUGCGAAAAGCGCCGGCGAGGUGAUAUGAACCUUUGACCCGGCGAUGUCCGAAUGGGGAAACCCAGUGUGAUUCGUCACACUAUCGUUAACUGAAUACAUAGGUUAACGAGGCGAACCGGGGGAACUGAAACAUCUAAGUACCCCGAGGAAAAGAAAUCAACCGAGAUUCCCCCAGUAGCGGCGAGCGAACGGGGAGCAGCCCAGAGUCUGAAUCAGCUUGUGUGUUAGUGGAAGCGUCUGGAAAGUCGCACGGUACAGGGUGACAGUCCCGUACACGAAAGCACACAGGCUGUGAACUCGAAGAGUAGGGCGGGACACGUGGUAUCCUGUCUGAAUAUGGGGGGACCAUCCUCCAAGGCUAAAUACUCCUGACUGACCGAUAGUGAACCAGUACCGUGAGGGAAAGGCGAAAAGAACCCCGGCGAGGGGAGUGAAAUAGAACCUGAAACCGUGUACGUACAAGCAGUGGGAGCACCUUCGUGGUGUGACUGCGUACCUUUUGUAUAAUGGGUCAGCGACUUAUAUUCUGUAGCAAGGUUAACCGUAUAGGGGAGCCGAAGGGAAACCGAGUCUUAACUGGGCGUUAAGUUGCAGGGUAUAGACCCGAAACCCGGUGAUCUAGCCAUGGGCAGGUUGAAGGUUGGGUAACACUAACUGGAGGACCGAACCGACUAAUGUUGAAAAAUUAGCGGAUGACUUGUGGCUGGGGGUGAAAGGCCAAUCAAACCGGGAGAUAGCUGGUUCUCCCCGAAAGCUAUUUAGGUAGCGCCUCGUGAACUCAUCUUCGGGGGUAGAGCACUGUUUCGGCUAGGGGGCCAUCCCGGCUUACCAACCCGAUGCAAACUACGAAUACCGAAGAAUGUUAUCACGGGAGACACACGGCGGGUGCUAACGUCCGUCGUGAAGAGGGAAACAACCCAGACCGCCAGCUAAGGUCCCAAAGUCAUGGUUAAGUGGGAAACGAUGUGGGAAGGCACAGACAGCCAGGAUGUUGGCUUAGAAGCAGCCAUCAUUUAAAGAAAGCGUAAUAGCUCACUGGUCGAGUCGGCCUGCGCGGAAGAUGUAACGGGGCUAAACCAUGCACCGAAGCUGCGGCAGCGACGCGUAUGCGUUGUUGGGUAGGGGAGCGUUCUGUAAGCCGUUGAAGGUGUGCUGUGAGGCAUGCUGGAGGUAUCAGAAGUGCGAAUGCUGACAUAAGUAACGAUAAAGCGGGUGAAAAGCCCGCUCGCCGGAAGACCAAGGGUUCCUGUCCAACGUUAAUCGGGGCAGGGUGAGUCGACCCCUAAGGCGAGGCCGAAAGGCGUAGUCGAUGGGAAACAGGUUAAUAUUCCUGUACUUGGUGUUACUGCGAAGGGGGGACGGAGAAGGCUAUGUUAGCCGGGCGACGGUUGUCCCGGUUUAAGCAUGUAGGCGGAACGAUUAGGUAAAUCCGGUCGUUUUUUAACGCUGAGGUGUGAUGACGAGGCACUACGGUGCUGAAGUAACAAAUGCCCUGCUUCCAGGAAAAGCCUCUAAGCAUCAGGUAACAUCAAAUCGUACCCCAAACCGACACAGGUGGUCAGGUAGAGAAUACCAAGGCGCUUGAGAGAACUCGGGUGAAGGAACUAGGCAAAAUGGUGCCGUAACUUCGGGAGAAGGCACGCUGAUAUGUAGGUGAAGCCCCUGCGGGUGGAGCUGAAAUCAGUCGAAGAUACCAGCUGGCUGCAACUGUUUAUUAAAAACACAGCACUGUGCAAACACGAAAGUGGACGUAUACGGUGUGACGCCUGCCCGGUGCCGGAAGGUUAAUUGAUGGGGUUAGCGGUAACGCGAAGCUCUUGAUCGAAGCCCCGGUAAACGGCGGCCGUAACUAUAACGGUCCUAAGGUAGCGAAAUUCCUUGUCGGGUAAGUUCCGACCUGCACGAAUGGCGUAAUGAUGGCCAGGCUGUCUCCACCCGAGACUCAGUGAAAUUGAACUCGCUGUGAAGAUGCAGUGUACCCGCGGCAAGACGGAAAGACCCCGUGAACCUUUACUAUAGCUUGACACUGAACACUGGUCCUUGAUGUGUAGGAUAGGUGGGAGGCUUUGAAGUGUGGACGCCAGUCUGCGUGGAGCCGUCCUUGAAAUACCACCCUUUAAUGGCUGGUGUUCUAACGUAGACCCGUAAUCCGGGUUGCGGACAGUGUCUGGUGGGUAGUUUGACUGGGGCGGUCUCCUCCCAAAGAGUAACGGAGGAGCACGAAGGUUAGCUAAUCCUGGUCGGACAUCAGGAGGUUAGUGCAAUGGCAUAAGCUAGCUUGACUGCGAGAGUGACGGCUCGAGCAGGUGCGAAAGCAGGUCAUAGUGAUCCGGUGGUUCUGAAUGGAAGGGCCAUCGCUCAACGGAUAAAAGGUACUCCGGGGAUAACAGGCUGAUACCGCCCAAGAGUUCAUAUCGACGGCGGUGUUUGGCACCUCGAUGUCGGCUCAUCACAUCCUGGGGCUGAAGUAGGUCCCAAGGGUAUGGCUGUUCGCCAUUUAAAGUGGUACGCGAGCUGGGUUUAGAACGUCGUGAGACAGUUCGGUCCCUAUCUGCCGUGGGCGCUGGAGAAUUGAGGGGGGCUGCUCCUAGUACGAGAGGACCGGAGUGGACGCAUCACUGGUGUUCGGGUUGUCAUGCCAAUGGCACUGCCCGGUAGCUAAAUGCGGAAAAGAUAAGUGCUGAAAGCAUCUAAGCACGAAACUUGCCCCGAGAUGAGUUCUCCCUGAGACUUUAAGUCUCCUGAAGGAACGUUGAAGACGACGACGUUGAUAGGUCGGGUGUGUAAGCGCAGCGAUGCGUUGAGCUAACCGAUACUAAUGAACCGUGAGGCUUAACCUU
rnacentral:rRNA from 1 species